CGCUUGUAAUGACGCUAUCGAAAUCGGACCUCCCAGCGAUAUACUCGUUCUUGACCGAUUCAUUGAGUGGCGACGAAAUCGUCCGCAAGCCAGCAGAGGAGGCUCUCUCUCAGUGCGAGGCUAGGCCCAGCUUUUGCUCUUGUCUCAUGUGUGGUAUUGCUGCCAACGGUCAAAAACCAAAAACCCUAACUCGGUGUUGGUGAUUGCGUUUUGAGCCACGAACAAGGGGAGGUACUAUACAGUGGAUUGCGGAAACCCUAUUAUUUGGGGGAACCGAAGCUUUUCGAAUUGAAGUUUUACGCAAUGGGAGCUGUUAAGUUGGAACUUCGUUGUCCCCAAACUGUUGAGGGAAUUGCUGCCGACCCUGAACCUGAUUGGAGCUUCAAUGCUCUUUUAACAGAGCUUAAUGCAUUGGAAACAAAACUUAGUAGCU